rnacentral:rRNA from 1 species
UACAGAGGGUGCGAGCGUUGUUCGGAAUUACUGGGCGUAAAGCGCGUGUAGGCGGCCAACUAAGUCAGACGUGAAAUCCCUCAGCUUAACUGGGGAACUGCGUCUGAUACUGGAUGGCUUGAGUUUGGGAGAGGGAUGCGGAAUUCCAGGUGUAGCGGUGAAAUGCGUAGAUAUCAGGAGGAACACCAAUGGCGAAGGCAGCUCGCUGGGACGUGACUGACGCUGAGACGCGAAAGCGUGGGGAGCAAACAGG